rnacentral:rRNA from 1 species
AACGAACGCUGGCGGCGUGCCUAACACAUGCAAGUCGUGCGGGAAUACGGGAGCAAUCUCGUUAGUAUAGCGGCGCACGGGUGAGUAACACGUAGGUAAUCUACCCUGGAGAUUGGGAUAACCUGUCGAAAGACGGGCUAAUACUGGAUAAGACCACGAGGCCUUUGGACUUUGUGGUAAAAGGUGGCCUCUGCUUGCAAGCUACUGCUUCAGGACGAGCCUGCGUGCCAUUAGCUAGUUGGUGAGGUAACGGCUCACAAAGGCGAAGAUGGCUAGCUGGUCUGAGAGGAUGGCCAGCCACACUGGGACUGAGACACGGCCCAGACUCCUACGGGAGGCAGCAGUGGGGAAUAUUGCGCAAUGGGCGAAAGCCUGACGCAGCGACGCCGCGUGGGUGAUGAAGGCCUUCGGGUCGUAAAGCCCUGUCGGGAGGGAAGAAACAUCGGCGAUCUAACAUAUCGUUGACUUGACGGUACCUCCGAAGGAAGCACCGGCUAACUCCGUGCCAGCAGCCGCCGUAAAAC